rnacentral:rRNA from 1 species
GGGAGGUAGUGACAAUAAAUAACAAUACAGGGUCCUUUCGGGUCUUGUAAUUGGAAUGAGUACAAUUUAAAUCUCUUAACGAGGAACAAUUGGAGGGCAAGUCUGGUGCCAGCAGCCGCGGUAAUUCCAGCUCCAAUAGCGUAUAUUAAAGUUGUUGCAGUUAAAAAGCUCGUAGUUGAAUUUCGGGAUCAAUGCGUCGGUCGUGCCUUCGGUACGUACUAACGUCAUUGAUUCUUCCCUUCUGAAGAACCGUGAUGUCAUUAAUUUGGUGUUACGGGGAAUCAGGACUGUUACCUUGAAAAAUUAGAGUGUUUAAAGCAGGCUAACGCUUGAAUACAUUAGCAUGGAAUAAUGAAAUAGGACGUUCGAACCUAUUUUGUUGGUUUCUAGGAUCGACGUAAUGAUUAAUAGGGAUAGUUGGG